rnacentral:snoRNA from 1 species
AGCCCAUGGUGUGGACAUCUUCUAAGAAAUCUCUAAAUCAUUCCUAAGCCUCAUAUAAGGAUUCACCAUCAAAUUGUGUGAAAGAAGUUAUAUCAUUCCUCAACUU